CCUACGGUAGGCAGCAGUGAGGCAUAUUGGUCAAUGGCCGGAAGUCUGAACCAGCCAAGCCGCGUGAGGGAGGAAGGCGCAGCGCGUCGCAGACCUCUUUUGCCGGGUGACAAAAUGCCGGACUCGUCCGGUCCUGCGGUUACCCGGCGACCAAGCAUCGGCUAACUCCGUGCCAGCAGCCGCGGUACUACGGAGGAUUCGAGCGUUAUCCGGAUUCAUUGGGUUUAAGGGGUGCGCAGUCGGGCCUUUAAGCCGGCGGUGAACUCGCGGGGCUCACCCCCGCCGAGGCGUCGGAACUGGGGGCCUUGAGGGCGGCGGAGGCAUGCGGAAUGCGCGGUGUAGCGGUGAAAUGCAUAGAUAUCGCGCAGAACCCCGAUUGCGAAGGCAGCGUGCCGUGCCGCAACUGACGCUGAGGCACGAAAGCGCGGGGAUCGAACAGGAUGAGAUACCCCUGUAGUC
rnacentral:rRNA from 1 species